rnacentral:rRNA from 1 species
AUUGAACGCUGGCGGCAGGCCUAACACAUGCAAGUCGAGCGGAUGAAGGGAGCUUGCUCCUGGAUUCAGCGGCGGACGGGUGAGUAAUGCCUAGGAAUCUGCCUGGUAGUGGGGGAUAACGUCCGGAAACGGGCGCUAAUACCGCAUACGUCCUGAGGGUGAAAGUGGGGGAUCUUCGGACCUCACGCUAUCAGAUGAGCCUAGGUCGGAUUAGCUAGUUGGUGGGGUAAGGGCCUACCAAGGCGACGAUCCGUAACUGGUCUGAGAGGAUGAUCAGUCACACUGGAACUGAGACACGGUCCAGACUCCUACGGGAGGCAGCAGUGGGGAAUAUUGGACAGUGGGCGAAAGCCUGAUCCAGCCAUGCCGCGUGUGUGAAGACGGUCUUCGGAUUGUAAAGCACUUUAAGUUGGGAGGAAGGGCAGUAAGUUAAUACCUUGCUGUUUUGACGUUACCAACAGAAUAAGCACCGGCUAACUUCGUG